rnacentral:rRNA from 1 species
GAUGAACGCUGGCGGCGUGCCUAAUACAUGCAAGUCGAGCGAACAGACGAGGAGCUUGCUCCUCUGACGUUAGCGGCGGACGGGUGAGUAACACGUGGAUAACCUACCAAUAAUACUGGGAUAACUUCGGGAAACCGGAGCUAAUACCGGAUAAUAUAUUGAACCGUAUGGUUCUAUAGUGAAAGACGGUUUUGCUUUCACUUAUAGAUUGAUCCGCGCCGCAUGGGAUAGUGGGUAAGCUAACGGCUUACCAAGGCAAGGAUGCGUAGCCGACCUGAGAGAGGGAUAGGCGACCCUGGAGCGGGGACGCGGUCCAGAGUCCUACGGGAGGCAGCAGUAGGGAAUGUUCGGCAGUGGGCGGAAGCAUGACGGAGCAACGCCGCGUGAGUGAUGAAGGUCUUGGGAGCGUAAAGCUCUGUUACUAGGGAAGAACAACUGUGUAAGUAACUAAGCACGUAUUGACGGUACCUGAUGAGAAAGCCACGGCUAACUACGUG